rnacentral:rRNA from 1 species
CACGUGAGUGACCUGCCUUUUAGACUGGAACAACUUACCGAAAGGUGAGCUAAUGCCGGAUGAGUUAUAUAAGUGCAUGUUUAUAUAGGAAAAGUUGGGGAGACCUGACGCUGAAAGAUGGACUCGCGUCCCAUUAGCUAGUUGGUAGGGUAAUGGCCUACCAAGGCAACGAUGGGUAGCCGGCCUGAGAGGGUGGCCGGCCACACUGGGACUGAGACACGGCCCAGACUCCUACGGGAGGCAGCAGUGGGGAAUUUUGCGCAAUGCUCGUAAGAGUGACGCAGCGACGCCGCGUGAAUGACGAAGGCCUUCGGGUCGUAAAGUUCUUUCGACAGGGAAGAAAAUGCCUAUAAGUAACUGUGUAUGUAUUGACGGUACCUGUAUAAGCAGCCCCGGCUAACUCCGUGCCAGCAGCCGCGGUAAUACGGAGGGGGCGAGCGUUGUUCGGAGUGACUGGGCGUAAAGAGCACGUAGGCGGUGUUGUAAGUCAUUAGUCAAAGACUAGAGCUCAACUUUAGUAAGGCUAGUGAUACUAUAAUACUAGAGUAUCAGAGAGGAUUGCAUAAUUCCUGGUGUAGCGGUGAAAAUGCGUAGAUAUCAAGAGGAAUACCGUUAGC